rnacentral:rRNA from 1 species
GAAGUGCCGAGCAUGGGAGACACACGGCGGGUGCUAACGUCCGUCGUGAAAAGGGAAACAACCCAGACCGCCAGCUAAGGUCCCAAAGUUGUGGUUAAGUGGUAAACGAUGUGGGAAGGCUUAGACAGCUAGGAGGUUGGCUUAGAAGCAGCCAUCCUUUAAAGAAAGCGUAAUAGCUCACUAGUCGAGUCGGCCUGCGCGGAAGAUGUAACGGGGCUCAAACCACACACCGAAGCUGCGGGUGUCACGUAAGUGACGCGGUAGAGGAGCGUUCUGUAAGCCUGUGAAGGUGAGUUGAGAAGCUUGCUGGAGGUAUCAGAAGUGCGAAUGCUGACAUGAGUAACGACAAUGGGUGUGAAAAACACCCACGCCGAAAGACCAAGGGUUCCUGCGCAACGUUAAUCGACGCAGGGUUAGUCGGUUCCUAAGGCGAGGCUGAAAAGCGUAGUCGAUGGGAAACAGGUUAAUAUUCCUGUACCUUCUGGUUACCUGCGAUGGAGGGACGGAGAAGGCUAGGCCAGCUUGGCGUUGGUUGUCCAAGUUUAAGGUGGUAGGCUGAAAUCUUAGGUAAAUCCGGGGUUUCAAGGCCGAGAGCUGAUGACGAGUCGUCUUUUAGAUGACGAAGUGGUUGAUGCCAUGCUUCCAAGAAAAGCUUCUAAGCUUCAGGUAACCAGGAACCGUACCCCAAACCGACACAGGUGGUCGGGUAGAGAAUACCAAGGCGCUUGAGAGAACUCGGGUGAAGGAACUAGGCAAAAUGGCACCGUAACUUCGGGAGAAGGUGCGCCGGCUAGGGUGAAGGAUUUACUCCGUAAGCUCUGGCUGGUCGAAGAUACCAGGCCGCUGCGACUGUUUAUUAAAAACACAGCACUCUGCAAACACGAAAGUGGACGUAUAGGGUGUGACGCCUGCCCGGUGCCGGAAGGUUAAUUGAUGGGGUUAGCGCAAGCGAAGCUCUUGAUCGAAGCCCCCGGUAAACGGCGGCCGUAACUAUAACGGUCCUAAGGUAGCGAAAUUCCUUGUCGGGUAAGUUCCGACCUGCACGAAUGGCGUAACGAUGGCGGCGCUGUCUCCACCCGAGACUCAGUGAAAUUGAAAUCGCUGUGAAGAUGCAGUGUAUCCGCGGCUAGACGGAAAGACCCCGUGAACCUUUACUGUAGCUUUGCACUGGACUUUGAGCCUGCUUGUGUAGGAUAGGUGGGAGGCUUUGAAGCGUGGACGCCAGUUCGCGUGGAGCCAUCCUUGAAAUACCACCCUGGCAUGCUUGAGGUUCUAACUCUGGUCCGUGAUCCGGAUCGAGGACAGUGUAUGGUGGGCAGUUUGACUGGGGCGGUCUCCUCCUAAAGAGUAACGGAGGAGUACGAAGGUGCGCUCAGACCGGUCGGAAAUCGGUCGCAGAGUAUAAAGGCAAAAGCGCGCUUGACUGCGAGACAGACACGUCGAGCAGGUACGAAAGUAGGUCUUAGUGAUCCGGUGGUUCUGUAUGGAAGGGCCAUCGCUCAACGGAUAAAAGGUACUCCGGGGAUAACAGGCUGAUACCGCCCAAGAGUUCAUAUCGACGGCGGUGUUUGGCACCUCGAUGUCGGCUCAUCACAUCCUGGGGCUGAAGCCGGUCCCAAGGGUAUGGCUGUUCGCCAUUUAAAGUGGUACGCGAGCUGGGUUUAGAACGUCGUGAGACAGUUCGGUCCCUAUCUGCCGUGGACGUUUGAGAUUUGAGAGGGGCUGCUCCUAGUACGAGAGGACCGGAGUGGACGAACCUCUGGUGUUCCGGUUGUCACGCCAGUGGCAUUGCCGGGUAGCUAUGUUCGGAAAAGAUAACCGCUGAAAGCAUCUAAGCGGGAAACUUGCCUCAAGAUGAGAUCUCACUGGGAACUUGAUUCCCCUGAAGGGCCGUCGAAGACUACGACGUUGAUAGGCUGGGUGUGUAAGCGUUGUGAGGCGUUGAGCUAACCAGUACUAAUUGCCCGUGAGGCUUGACCAUAUAACACCCAAACA